ACAGGUUAAUUUUAUUGUUAAUUCUUUGAUUGAAAAAGUUGGGAUUGCCUAAGGGUCCUGUUAAAGUUCAGCUCACUGAGGAGCCAGUCAUCAAAAUCAACAAGGAGGGAAUCUCUGUCAACGUGAAGGCCAUCGCCCAAUCUAAAACCAACUCACCGCCUCCUCCUCUUCCUGUGGAGUGUCAGUUUGGGAUGAAGGUCAAUUUGAAUGGACGUCAUCUGAUUCUUCAGUCUCUAAGCCCCAAGUGUGAAGCCAAACCUGGAACCAAAAAGGGAAGAUUUGUGGUAAGAAAACUUCUCUGUGUUUACUCUUUUAUCCUCUCUGUUUUUCUGUGUGGUUCUGUUUG